rnacentral:tRNA from 1 species
GGUAUAGCUCAAUGGUAGAGUGCAUGCCGCAUACACAAGGUCCUGGGUUCAAUCCCCAGUACC